UCCUGUCAACUACGGUUCUUAAUUACCCUGAGUGGAUGUUUAAUACAAAUUGUUCCUAGUAUAAAUAAGCUUUGAGGAGAAAACUUAUCCAGAACAUAACUAUCACACCGAUUUGUUAAAAAUCUUAAUUUUUUCGAAACUCAGAAACAAUGAUUUCCAAAAUUAUACUCUUCCUCCUUGUCCAAUCAAUUUUCACAUCGCAAGUGGAAUCCAUCCCAUCAUUCAAAGGGGACGCAAAUCUUGAGAGGGCCCGACUUUACGUCGGGAACGAGUAUGUCGAAUGCGUCGCCUCGUCUGACUGUUCUAUAGAUACAUGUAGCACAUGUAUCGAAAAUCAAUGCAUUGAGCUAUUUGACUGUGAAUACGACUAAAUUUGACUCCGGAUGGCCCCCUUGAAACGCGUCGAUGGAUUUGAAAAUAUUUCUAAACAAACUUUUUAAUCAUUAAAAAAUACGAGCAAAA